GAUGAGGAGGGAGCUUCCAUCUUCUCUCUGCUUCUUCAUCCUCUUUUAAGAGCAAUUUAGACGUAGACUUAGAUCAGAUUCCCGAACCUAAUUCAUGAUUAGCUGACUGAAGUGAGGAAAGGAAGAGUCUAUAGUAGUUUUGAUGCUGUUAGGUGGAUAUGAAGUGAAAAGUGUAAUUAUCAUUUUUCCUCUUUUUUUUGGUUUUGUUGCAUUUUUUGCACUCUCACAGGAGGCGUUUUGCUGAUGUCUUUCUCACGCGGAUGCAUUUGAGGCGGGAGGCGAAAAGCAAAUAUUCCGCUUUUAUUCCUAAGCGCACAUCAUGCCUACACGCGUGUGUGUUUUCCCGGAGAAUGGAAGCGCAUGACGGGAUUACUAUAUUCUCGCACUUUUCCCGAUACCCAGGUCAACUAAAUAGAGUCGCUUACGCCGAUCGGGCUAAUUGGAUUUUAUAACAGCCACCUACUCAUCACAAAAUAACAGCAAAUUCGUGUUCAGAGCGCGCGGCCGGGGCUAAGUUGCAUCUUUCUGUGAUGGUAAAAAGGCAGCCGCGAUUCUGGUCAGCGAAAUUUAGCGAGACUGUACCUUUAGACGACCCCGUCUUAGACAAUUUCGCAGACAGAAACUGAGCAACUUCAGCGUUUUUUCUAUAGGAUGUCGCGCCGCAAGCAAGCGAAACCAAGAUCACUGAAAGUAGAAGACAAUGUGACAGAGGACCAGCACAGUCCCGGGCAGACUGCCAUUCCAAGCGAUCCAGAGUGCGCCCUCGAGAGGGCGGCGGAGGAUGGUGAGACCGGGCGUCUGAGGAAGAGGCUGCUCUCUCCAGAGGAAGGAGAGGAGGGAGAGGAGGAGGACGAGGAGCCGGCGCUGCACAGCUGCGACAGCUGCCGGCAGGUGUUCGAGUCGCUGAGCGAUCUCACCGAACACAAGAUUAAUCAAUGCCAGCUGACAGAUGCUGCAGAUCUUGAGGAUGACCCAACGUGUUCUUGGCCAGCAUCAUCUCCAUCCAGUAAGGAUCAGACUUCUCCUGGACACUGUGAGGACUAUGACUUUGGUGAAGAAGAAGGAGGUCCUGGUCUGCCCUACCCGUGCCAGUUCUGCGACAAGUCCUUCAGUCGUUUAAGUUUCCUCAAGCGUCACGAACAGAGCCACGGCGAUAAACUCCCCUUCAGCUGCACCUUUUGCAGCCGCCUGUUUAAGCACAAGCGUAGCCGGGAUCGACACGUGAAGCUCCACACGGGCGAUAAGAAGUACCACUGUGGCGAGUGUGACUCUGCUUUCUCUCGCAGUGAUCACCUCAAAAUCCACAUGAAAACCCACGCCUCCAACAAACCCCACAAGUGCCCCGUGUGCCGCAGAGGCUUCCUCUCCUCUAGCUCCCUCCACGGCCACAUGCAGGUACAUGAAAGGGGCAAAGAUGGCAGCGGCGCAAGCCUUUCUAGAGCUGAUGAAUGGAAGCUGAAAGAAACACGUAAAUGCAGCCGAUGUGAAGAGGGCUUUGAUGUCCCUGAGGAGCUCCAGAGGCACAUCGCAGAGUGCCACCCCGAGUGUUCUCCAUCAGAAGAUGGAGGCCUGGGUGCCACCCUGCAGUGCAUUUACUGCCAUGAGCCCUUCAGUGAUGAGGGCACCCUGCUGACCCACAUCGACCAAGCACAUAGUCGGGACAGAAAGGGCCACACCUGUGCUAUCUGCUCGGAGCACUUUCUGUCUGUUGAAGACCUCUACGCUCACAUGGACAUCCACCAGCUCCCAGAAUCUAGUAACCAUAGUAACAGCCCUUCCUUGCUGACUGUGGGUUAUACAUCUGUCUCCAGCACCACUCCUGACUCCAACCUUUCUGUCGACAGCUCCACAAUGGUAGAGACAGCACCACCUGUGCCCAAGGCAAGAGGCAGGAGGAAGAGGGCUGCUCAGAACGCGUCGGACAUGGGAGGACGCUCAUCUAAGCAACCCAAAGUCUCCUACAGUUGCAUUUACUGUAACAAACAAGUAUUCUCCAGUCUGGCUGUGCUUCAAAUUCACCUGCGAACCAUGCAUCUGGACAAGCCAGAACAGGCUCACACGUGCCAGUUUUGUUUGGAGGUUCUGCCCUCUUUACUAAAUCUAAAUGAACAUCUUAAGCAGGUCCACAAUGCAGAAGACCACGCUGCCCUAUUAGCCAGUUUGCCUGAUGCCCUCCUUCAGUGUAACUUCUGUCCUGAGGUGUUGAGUGACCUCAAUGCCCUCCAGGAACACAUUCGAUGCUCCCAUGGCUUUCCCAGUCCAGUGGCCAAGGAAAGCAAUGCCUUCUUCUGCCCGCAGUGCUUCAUGGGGUUUUUGACAGAGGCUACCUUGGAGGAGCAUGUCCGUCAGACUCACUGUGAUGGGGGAAGCCUGCGCUUUGACUCUCCCCUGGCUGUAACUCCCAAGGAGCCUAUAGUCGAAGUGUAUUCCUGUUCAUACUGCACCAACUCCCCCAUAUUCAACAGUGUUCUGAAGCUCAACAAGCACAUCAAGGAGAAUCACAAAAACAUUCCACUGGCACUGAACUACAUCAACAAUGGUAAGAAAUCCCUGCGCACCCUAAGCCCCUCUUCUCCCAUAUCUGUGGAAACCACCAUGCUAAAACAAGGCGGCUCAGCCUCACGCACUACCAGCGAGUUCAUUUGUAACCAGUGUGGUGCCAAGUACACCAGUCUAGACCUUUUCCAGACUCAUCUCAAAACGCAUCUGGAUGGCCUGCAGCCUCAGCUCACCUGCCCACAGUGCAAUAAAGAGUUCCCCAACCAAGAGUCUUUGCUGAAGCAUGUGACAAUUCACUUCACUAUUACCUCCACUUAUUACAUCUGUGAGAGCUGCGACAAGCAGUUCACUUCAGUGGACGACCUGCAGAAGCACCUACUUGACAUGCAUACCUUUGUGUUCUUCCGUUGCACCCUGUGCCAGGAGGUAUUCGACUCAAAGGUGUCUACUCAGCUCCACCUGGCUGUAAAACACAGCAACGAGAAGAAGGUGUAUCGCUGCACCUCUUGCAAUUGGGACUUCAGACAUGAGACUGACCUGCAGCUCCAUGUCAAACACAGUCAUCUGGAGAACCAGGGUCGUGCUCAUCGCUGCAUUUUCUGCGGCGAGUCCUUUGGCACAGAGGUGGAGCUGCAGUGCCACAUCACCACCCACAGCAAGAAGUAUAACUGUCGCUUCUGCAGUAAGGCCUUCCAUGCCAUCGUCCUUUUGGAGAAGCAUUUGAGGGAGAAACACUGCGUGUUUGAGGGAAAGGCGCAGAACUGCGGUGCCAAUGGUUCUACUGUAAUUGGUGGAGAGGGUCAACCUAAAGACGAUGGUGAGUUACAGGGAGUUCUGACCAACAGUCACGGCCCAGGAGCAGCCGGAGGAACUGUGGUGGAGUCCCAGAACAGCCACGAUGGAAGUGAAGAAGAAGUGGAUACUGCAGAACCCAUGUAUGGCUGUGACAUCUGUGGGGCGUCUUACACAAUGGAGUCGCUCCUCACCAACCACCAGUUGAGGGACCACAAUAUACGCCCCGGUGAGAGUGCCAUGAUAAAGAGGAAAGCUGAGAUGAUCAAGGGCAACCACAAGUGCAAUGUCUGCUCCCGCACAUUCUUCUCUGAGGCCGGGCUGAGGGAGCAUAUGCAGACCCACCUUGGGCCUGUCAAACACUACAUGUGUCCCAUCUGUGGGGAGCGCUUCCCUUCUUUACUCACCCUGACUGAGCACAAGGUCACUCAUAGCAAGAGUCUGGACACAGGCAGCUGCCGCAUUUGUAAGAUGCCAUUACAAAGCGAGGAGGACUUUCUGGAACAUUGCCAGAUGCACCCCGACCUGAGGAACUCCCUGACAGGUUUCCGCUGUGUGGUGUGCAUGCAGACAGUCACCUCCACGUUAGAGCUCAAGAUUCACGGUACCUUCCACAUGCAAAAGACAGGCACCAUGUCCUCAAACCAACCCAGUGGCCGAAGCAAUGCUAUAUCUCACAAUCAGCAGCAUCACCCCCAAAAACUUUUCAAGUGCGCCUCCUGCCUGAAAGAUUUCAGGUCCAAACAAGACCUGGUGAAGCUGGAUAUCAACGGACUGCCUUACGGACUCUGUGCAGCCUGUGUCACAGCUGCUGGCUCCAAGAGCUCCAGCCCAACGGUCAAUGGAGGAAGGCAACAGCAACAGGGUGGAGCUUCCACUCCAGCAACAACUACAGCCACAUGGGUCCAGGGGGAGAGUCUCAGCCCUGGAGAUGGUAAAGGCAAAGCCGUGUCUUCAUCCUCUUCGUCCUCUUCCACAUCUUCAUCCUCUGCAGCCAAGACACGAUGCUCCAGCUGCAACGUCAAAUUUGAGUCUGAAGCAGAGUUGCAAAACCACAUCCAGGCAGUGCAUCGGGAGCAGACUGGGGACAGCAACGGUGGGCAGCUGAAGACCCCCCAGGUAUCCCCCAUGCCCAGAGCCAGUCCUUCACAAACUGAAGAGAAGAAGACCUACCAGUGCAUCAAAUGUCAGAUGGUGUUCUACAGUGAAUGGGACAUCCAGGUCCACGUGGCCAACCACAUGCUGGGCUCACAAGUGUCUGGAUCACAUCACCAAAUAGCGGGAGAGAGACUCAUUGAUCUGGAACCAAACCGCCUCUCUGUUUGGGACACGCUUCUAGGCGCAGGUGAAUUUAAACACGGUGGGCAAUUCUAUCAGGACUGGUAGGCAAUUCUAUCAGGGACCCACUGUUUGUGCAUAAACAAUCAGAAGCAUGUGAUUUGUGAUUUUGAUGCCGCGGUGUAUUUGCAAAGGAGAGAGACGAGCUGAGAGUGUGUAGGUGUGUAUUUUGUAUUCAUCUUUGAGAUCUGCUCACCCACUAUUCUGCUGGGGGAGCCUAAUACAGUACCAUGCCAGCAUUAGUCCUUUCUCUCGCAAAGGCAGGCACGGAGCACACUGGGAGGGUAGAAAACAAACCCCCCUACUGGUUAUUUUAUGUCUUUCAGCCGCACAAGCACACAGUUCCCCCCAUAAUAGUGGAAUUCAGACAGCUUAAGAUAACAGGAGGAUAGGUGAUUGGGUUAUUGUCUGAUGUCUUAUUUCUCUGAUAUGCCAUUGCUUUGUAUUCAACAUGAUCACGGGUUUCAUCAGGCUCCUCAAAGGGUUUCUGUUAGAUGCAUUUGUUUUGUGAUGUGUAAAAUGUUGGCAAAAACAAAACCCGUCGUAAUGAAAAUUUGAUGGAAGACAAAGUUGUCGAGACAUGAUUGCAUUUUAGGUAACAAACAAACAGGAGACUGAAUAGAAUAAGAAAGUAAAGAGAAUAUAUGUAAAAGUAAAGCGAUAUUAGGGGAGAGACGUAUACAUCGACAGCUGUGUUUCUACGGCAGUGUUGAACUCCUGGUCGUACACAGCUUUUAGAGAAUGAAUCCCAUUUAAUGUGGAAUAGUGUCCAGGCUAUAACAACAGCAAAGCCAAUCUUGGCCAAAAGCACAGAGAAAAAACUCAUUUGGAAAAAGCUCUAAAUACCUUCUCUACUGAAAAAAGGGACACUUUCUCCUUUUAAUGGCCAUCUGCACAGGAGAGGGGAAACAGGGGGCUGGGGUCAUCUCCGCUCAGCUGUCAGCGUUAUUAGCGUAGGUAAUGGAGCAGACGCUGGAUUCAUAGGGGUGUUGUUUUCAUCCAUGCCCCGCUCCAUGGUGUCAGUUCACACUGAUAACUCUAUAUAUAGUGAUAUGCCGUGACAUAACCAUAGUGCUAAGUGUAUGGAACAACAAAACCUGAGCCUGUCUCACCCAGACAAGUCCAUAUGAGCUGCGUUUGUAAUACAAUAGUCUACCUAAACCGAGUGCACUCAGCCUCCACCCUCACCUUCUCCCAUCGGGCCUAAGUGCUCAUGGCUGCUGCUUCUUCUGUACGACUGCCAGCACAUUUUGAUGCAUGGAUAUUACGCUCGCAUGAUGGCGGCCCUGGUUCAGACACAAAGCGCAGCUCUGGUGCCUAGCUACUCGACAUUUACUAAGAUAAUGGAGGUAAAUGAAAGGGAAGGAGGUGGCCAUGGGCACAGAAGGGUGUGUAGGACACCAGUCCCAGCCAAGCCUGUGAAAGGCCCCCACGUGUCUUAAGAUGGAGGCCGCAGCCUGCUAGGGCCCAGAUGGAUCAGUACACAUUUGCUGUACAGCUGGUCGCUCUGUUUGGGGACCUGGUGUGAUACUCCUAUGGAGAAAAAAAUGAUAUCGCCACCAUCCAAGGAGCAAUUUAAUAGCAGGCCAGAAGACAGCUGGCCACUCUUUAGUUUAGAGUUUUUUUGGCAUGGCACACUUACAGAAUUGAGGGUGUCCGAUUUUCCUCCAGAGACACACAGAUUUAUACAGCGUUCAGCUGCUGCAGUCACUAUCAAACCCUUUUAUUUCUGUUUUUUUGUUUGCUGUCCAUCAGGUCAAUUUACUGUUUUGAUCUGCAGUAACUGCAUUGGAAAGAGAUUUAAAAUCAAAUGAGCGCUCUCGCAAAGUCUGUAGUGUUUUUGAAAAGGACCUUUGAAGGUCUUUCAUUGACACAAAAGCCUGUUUGGUUUGAUCAGCAUGCCAUCGUGCCACCCUAUUGCUUCACUUUGACCCCACUGUAAACUAUGACAUUUGGAGCCUCGUGGGGGGCACGUUUGGCCCAUUUAUUGCACUGUUUCAAAUGUCCCUGUGUGGAUAUCAAGAGCCCUGACACGUUUUAAAGGACAAUCUCUGUCUUAAAGGGUUUUAAAGGUGAAAAGGAUUUUUUUCUUUCUGUUAUAUCUGCUUUCAAUUCGAUUUCCAUCCCACUCCCGUCCUUCACACGCAGCCGCUGCCAAAGUGACAGCGCUUCGAAGGACAACUGUAAACAAACACACCAAAGCACAUCUCAGAAAAGUGUUUUUGAGGUCACCUCUACGGGUUUUUUUUUGGUUGGGCGACAGCACUGAGCUCGAAGCCAAGUCAGGGAGGAGCCUUCCCUCGCAGAGAGGAGCCGGUGGCCUGGUCGGCCCAGGCAGAGGGGGGCACUGGAGGGGUGGAAAGGUUCGGGGGCGGAGAGGGAAAGACACAUUUGCUGUACAGCUGGCCGCUCUGUGUGAAGCAGGCACUGUGGGCCGUUACAGAGCAGGAGACGAGAGCGAGCGAGAGGCCUUUAGCUCUCCUCUAGCUUCUCCUCCUCCUCUCUGUUCUCUCGGCCUCCCCCCUUCUCUCCGUCCACUAUCUCUCCAUUUCCCCCUUCCUCACUAUCUAGCCCUCACAUUUACAUAUUAACUGAGCUCCAACCUGGCAAAAACACUGUGUUGGCUGUGAGUGGGGGAACAGACAGGAGGCACACUGUAACAGUAUUUGAAGCUGAAAGCCUUGUUGUCUUUCUUGCUAAGGGCUGCAAAUUAUCCUUGACACAUAUCCUCUUGUCUUGAGCCCCAAGAGCAACUUGGCCCGUGUAUGUUGAUUACAUGGUCUCCAUCACUGUCUCUGCCCUUGUGGCAACACAUUUACUUCUCCAUUAGGCAUAUUUUCUUUCUCCUGGUGCGCCAACAGAAUAUGGUAUUUUUCGCCCCUUUGUUUCUUUUCCUAUAAUCCUCUUUGAUUAGAUACGUCUGAUGGUGUUCCCUCAGUUUCUGGGACUCAUUCAUAGAGCACAUACACAUGUAAUCUGCUAACAAACAUGGCCAAGCACUCCUCAUUUGACUCCUAGGGGGCUGGAUCAGAGUCAGAACUCAAUAGAGAACAGGGCACAUGAACAGAAUCAAUCUUAUGAAAUAAAUAAGAGAACAAGCUUGGACCAGCCUGUGGAAACAAAGGAAACCAUGCGUGCCAUAUACUGUGUCUGAUAUCUGCCUGCUUUUAUUAAUUGGUGAUUAAUAACACCUCUCUGUUCGUUAGCGCAGUCACCUCCCGUGCAGCCAAGUGUGUUGCUGCUAAUAUGCAAUUAUGCGCACCUUACUGCUCGUUACAUUAUACCUCUCUCUGACUAAUGUGGCAUCCAUGAGGAGAAUAAAAAACAGAGUGAGCUGUGGAAAAAGAGCUAUCAAUAAGCUAAGAUUCUCACAUUCGCAGUGUUACCCGACUGUCUGGGUGGAAAACAAAAAAAAAAAAAGAGAAGUUUCUUACAGAUUCCUCAAUGCAACCAGGAGACUGCAUUAAAAGUUUUACAGCAUUGCAGAGACUGUUUUGCUCUUUCUGGUGUUUUUGUUGUAAAGCACAGGUAAUUGACAUCACCAUGGGGAUGCUCUGUUGCUAGGCCAGACAAGCUCGGUCUGAUGUGGUCCUUAUCUAUUGAUUUUCCUGACAUUUCCCCACACCUCACAGACUAGGCCAACAUGUGAGAAAAUAUCUGAUGCUCUCAGUUCAUACAGCCUGUUUGUACAAACUCCGGGCGAACACUCGCUGCCCCUUACUGCAUCGUAAUUGGUAGGUUGAUGUCGCCAUGGUGAUUUGGGGCGAAUUCCGUCCAGCUAUUGGCUGCACUGAGCCCGUUGGUUGGGUGUAGUAUAAACUGUAACCUGCGAGCCACAUUACAGAUUAGUAUAAACCCUACAACUUAUCUCUGAAUGUAAACUUGUCUCUUCAUCAUGGAUCCACUGGCAUGCUCUUAAUAUCAACCUAAGUCUAGGUGGGGACUUGGGUGAUCUAAAUAGAGGUACUAGACUCUUCCUGUGCUUUCCGGCCAUGUUUUAUUGAUAUAAAGGAAGAAUGUUUCCUUUCGAGUCUUAAUGCCAACCCUUGUUCUGAAGUGAAGCCCAUAAAUACUGGAUGAUCAGAAUUAACCUCUGCAUUACUUUACCUCCCUGCGGUCUCUAAGAUGUCACCAAGGCCGUAGGUGCACGCGUAGCACUGCUCUGAUGGGGUUGCUUAGCAGUCUGGCUGGAGGGGGUCUUAUGGGAGAAGUGCAAACAGACAGUCCUGCCUUAGUAAAGGUCAGCGCUGCAACCCACACCUCUCAAAUCCCAGGCUGGCCCAGAUGGGACCAGAGUUCCGUGCGUGCCUAGAGAUGCUUGUGGUAAGGGAGAAUUAAGUUACAGUGAGAGCAGAGUGGGGCUCUAAUGCAGAACCGCAUUGCAUUUAGAGGUUGUCAUCACCAAUACGAGUGCGACUGAUGUGAUCUAACUUUGUGUUAUGGCUUUAUGCGAUGUGUUUUUGUAGUGACAUGCACACCAAGACACCGGUAGCUCCGAACAGAAAAGAGUUUCAGUGCCGGUGACAAAAUUGUUGUCCUUCUAUCCUGUGAUGACGUUAGGGUUCGUAGGCGCAGAGAGGUUCAAUUCAAUACGGGGUCCAAACGAGCGCGGCAAAAGUUUUAGCCCUCUUUGUGGAACACAAUGGUGGUUUUACAAAGUACCAUGUAACGAAUGACUAUCCUCAUCGAACUUUGGCUGCGUGAAUGGCAGACAGGGGAGGAGAGGGGAGGGCGAUCGGGUUCUGAAAGGCCCCCCAGCGUCAAAGCCUUAAUAAUCAUGUGAGCAGCGCUGGACUUCAUUACCCUCCUGUUCGACAGGCCGAGUGCCAGGCUGGAUUGCUGGCUGGCUGUGGCAAGGUCAACGGCGGAGGAAAAACCAGUUACUGUGUUACUCUGGAGCGGAAUGGAGAGGGGCGGCCAUCUGUCAGCUCAGGCCUGCCAUACCCGCAGAGCAAAUGGACACGGGCGGCUAGAGGAGAGGCCACAGACACCCAUAGAGCUAAACCCAGUGAGCAUAACACUGAGGCACGGGCACGGAUCGAGCCAAAGAGACGGGCCUUGGUGCUACUAAAACACAUAUAUACACACACACACACACACACACACACACACAGACACACGUAGCGGCGAAGAUAAGGCAAUCUCCAAGAUAUUUGGCAGCAGUUCGUGUGUUUAUGCAUGUUUGUUUUUAGUGUCAGUGCACUACUGGGCCCCUACUGUUGUAAGUCCAGAUGGCAAACCAUUCGAUAAAAAAGUUGAUAAAACUUUAGCCUUGUCUGCCAACGGUAAACAUCUCAAUCAUCAUUUAUUUAUUAAUUUGUUUUAACGAAGGCUAGCACCUUGCGGAUGUAAUCGGCAGCACGGACCGGCUUUUGGCAUCCGGUGUUUUCGUUCCCGUCCACCGCACCCUCCGGUUUUAUCGGUUCACCUUGCUGGCCGUUUGGCAGCGCGCGACUUGCAAAGACCCUCUCUGCGAGGACCUUUACGAUGCCCUUUGGCCAAAGUGGAAGAACCCUGUGGAAUGUUCCAAAGCUCCCUAAUAGGUUUCAGGUGCUGCGGGCCACCAGCCAGCCCCCCCCCCGCCAUCGCCGCGCCCGUCUUGCGAGAUAGAGACUCCCCGCACAACAGCACGCCAUUUCUCCUCUAAAACAAAGAGGGCAGAACUCGCAAAAUGGAAUCGCUGUAAUAUCGCUGUGAUAUUAGGUAAAUUUGUCUAACGCCGAGCCUCCCCUUAACUGCAGCGUUUUCAUAUUUAAUUGCCGGUCCGUGCUGGUUGGAGUUGUAGCAGACACGCAAGUUUGCGUCUCGCUCUUACAUCUCGGCACAGUUAAACUUCCUUGUUGUUUUCCUCCUCCACCGAGAGCACCCCCCCCCCCCCCCCCCCCCCCCCCCCCCCCACCCCCCAGCUGGAGCGUCAACACGCUCCGGAAGACAGGGAAGGGGAGAUGGUCCUGGGCGAUUCCCCUCCGCAUUAAUGGAAAUCACACAGGAACUCCCUGGAUGAAAGCUCUAUUCGUUAUUAAGGUUUAAUGUUGAUAUCGGUGCUUAUAUGUUUACUGAAGUGCACAGUGCUGCCGAUGUCGAAUUGUCAGAGAGGUGCAGUUUUAGUAAGGAAUUAGUGCACACCCAGGAUUUAAUUAAGGGGAUCUGUUUCCAUCUUGUUAGAAAGAGAUAAUGUGAGUACUGCAUGCAUCACAGGUUACUAUAUUAAAUGCUUCUUCCUGUAACAGUAUUAUAUCCACUACAGCGGCGCUUCUAGAUUAUGGGAUGGAAACAACAUGCUAUAUUCGAGUGGGAGCAACUCUCUGCUCAUUAGUGCCUUUUAUUGUCUGCUUUGCAUCCCCUUCUUGUCAUAUGCAGCCACGUUGAAAGGAGGAAAAAGUCACAGGUACAGUACAAGAGAUAAAAUGGUUACACCUCCACUCUUUUCAUGUGACUUGUUUCAUUUGCGGCGUGACAGCGGAGUGUGAACACCGAGGCGACGUGGCCUCUUUGUCUCUCCAUUUGUCCCACCACCGCCUAGAGACGUAAACCUUAAGCCACUCGCUCUCUGAUUAAUUUUUAACAUUUAUAAUUACUAAUUAAGUUAGUAAGAGACUUUUAAUGUAGUCCUCCUUCAAUGGGGAGCAGAGAGGACAACAGAUCAUUAGCUUCAAUAAUGAACGCGGAUGAGACAGAUAAUGGCCUGUGAUAGGUGAAUACUGACAGUUAUAUUAAAUGGGGUGAGCGUAUGGAAAGUAGCACUUCAUAUUGUAAAAGGAAGCAGGAAGACAAGGUGGUGAAGUAGCCCACUAACUCCAGACAGACCUUACGCGGCGUGGAAAUCUUCAGGGUAGUUCGGACUAAUUAAAAUCCGUCAUGCAGCCGCGUUUACAUUAGCGUAUGUUCCCUAUAAUGUGUGGCUGCCACGGUAAUUGCGUCAACCUUAGCUCCAUGCACGGGUUUUAUUUAUUCAUUCACACUGUUUUUAUGAAGUUUUUGGUCUCCCUAAUGUCUUUGGUGUAUCUCAUUAUCACAUUAUUACAUUAGUGUCUGCAUUAUUCUGGUGGCUGUAAGUUGCUGCCCAUUAAAAGAGUCAUUUCAUCUCCCGUUUUUUUUUUUUUUAUACCUUAACGACGAUGCUACUCUGGCACAUUCCGUGCGCCUUCCCACUUUGGGGAAGGUGCUUAUGCCAUAAUGAUUAUUAUCAUUAAGAAGAUAUUAAUGUGCUUAGUGUUUGCGACCCAGCUGCUCAUCAUGGCCUGAGCUCCCUGCCGGGGAGGGAAGCGAGCCGCUGCCAAAACGGACAGUGCGCGCAGGCCACCGCCCACCUGUCCAGAGGUUUCAGGGUCGGUGGAGGUCACACCUACCUCCCUCCCUGCCCUCUGCUCAACUGGAGGAGGAAGGAAAUUGGAGGAGGUGAAUUUGAAGUGAAGUUUAAAGUGUUUAAAACGCCAGCAUCCCCGUUGUACUCUCAGAACGGAUUCAUGCGACGUAAUUAUUGAUAUAGUGUUAAUGCCACACAUCACAUAAUACUAGGCCUUUUUUCAGUUUUGCAAUUUCCUAAAAUUUGUUUAGCUUCUUUAAUUGUAAUAAACAGAUAAAAUCAGGGUCCCACCAAAUCUCUAAUUAUUUUUGUCACAGCUGAGGGACCGCUGUGUGUUUUGAUGCUGCAGAUGCACACAGAUAACACAGACGACAGGCAGGCGUGGGGAUGGUGUGGGGCAUGAAGGCAGCCUGGCUCAGCCUCAUCCAGUCUCUCAGUUUCAAAUUGCUGCUUCAUUAGGGUUUGGAAAAGAAACCCUUGGUUACAUUUAAUCAAACGAAUUGCUGUGGCAGACCCACAUAAUCAAUCACAAUCCUUAUCCAAUAUGCUACAUUCUGUACCUACCAAGCUGGUUUGGAGAAAAGUCAAUUAUGGCCCCUCUCUCUGCUCCUCUGCUGGGUUCACUGUGAUAUUAUACUGUUUCUGCAGUUGUUUUCAUUAUGCAAACAUAGACUGUGUGCUAUCGCAAACAUACAGCUAUUUCAUAUUCAUACGUACUGCUAGUCUGUUUUUUCCCCUUUAUACCGGUAUUUGUUGUAUGAUACAUGGACUGGGGGGGUUUGUUGUAUGUAGUAUGUGCCAUAUCUGGAAUGAUCCAAUUAACAAUUAAUGAUCGUUUCGAACUGGGCCUCAGUCAGUAAUGCCUUUCAUAUUUCAUGUUCCGUGUCCAAAUGCCUCUGUUUUUCACUGUCUGUGUAUGAAAUCGCUUGUCUCCACAGAUGUUCUAACCCACAUCCGCGAGGAGAUGCAUGUGAAUGUAAAUAAAUAUGCACACACUGCGCAACCAGGCGCCUCCCCAAUCACACGCAGCCCCUGUAAACACGCUCAGCCACUGUACACACACUCGUCACUGCACCUUUUCCUCGUCUUGUGGGUUCUUCCUCCGUACCUUUCCACUUUAGCCCUCAGCCUCGUAUGCAGCGAACGCGCUCCGCAUAAUUCGCCCUAGCACCAGCCUACACACACACACAUACACACACACACACACACACACACACACUCACACUCACACUCACACACACACACACACACACACACACAAGGUAGCUAGGUUGGUGGGGGCCAUGGCUGCAGCUCCUCUGCGCAGUCCCAGAGUGGCUCCCGGGGCUCGGCUGCCAGUUGUUUGCCGGCGUCUCCGGGUGGAAUUCAUUCAAAUUAAAGCGGUGGAAUGAGGCCCGAGUCCCAGAAUGCCUCGUCCCUCUCCUUCAUCAGCAUUCCGCCGAUGAGAGUAAUUAAAGCAGAAAUUAAUUCUGCUGUAAGCAGAGGAGCCACAGAAUAACUGAUAUUAGAGGCUGGAUGAUGAAUGCUUGGCAUCAAGGGAUGUCUCAGGGGAGGAAGAGGAAAUUCACAGAUCUCUUUCUUUCUUUCUUUCUUUCUUUCUUUCUUUCUUUCUUUCUUUCUUUCUUUCUUUCUUUCUUUCUUUCUUUCUUUCUUUCUUUCUUUCUUCUUUCUUUCUUUCUUUCUUUCUUUCUUUCUUUCUUUCUUUCUUUCUUUCUUUCUUUCUCUCUUUCUCUCUUUCUUUCUUUCUCUUUCUUUUCCUCUUUCCCUCUUUCCCUCUUUCUCUCUUUCCUUCUUUCUUUCCCUUUUUCCUUCUUUCUUUUCAUCCCUCUUUAAAUGUUUAUUGUUCAACUUUAUAAACCUAUCGGUGUCUGCUUACCUCUUCUCAUCUUUCUAUUGCGAUCAUCCUCUGUGGCAAUGUUUGUCCUUCUCCACAGCCUGAAUCUCACUGCAUACCAUACAGCUAAUGCCCCUGACUUUAAGCAUGACUGAAGACAUCACCACUAGGCCUCGUCUCCCAGUAACAGUAUUUCACAUUCUGUCAGCGCGGGUGCGGUCGUUUUUAGUCAACAGGCAAAUUAGAGUGUACUGAUGCUGGAAAUGCUCAUGCUUUGUUGUCAGUAAACAGACACCAAGCUGCAGCAUGCUUCCAGGUGACUUUCGAAUGCCAAGGGUCUAGUGUUUAGUGUUACGCCAAAUUAAUUAAUAAUCAGAAUGUAAGCAGCCAUGUUACUGAAAGUACGGUUAUUAAAUCUGUAUAUAAAGCAGCUUGGAGUUAGGCUCGGCAUUUUAUUCUCUCAAAAUUUGAGACUAAACCUUGAAGAUCUCCAGAUGAUGUGAUAUUCUACCCAGGAUGAUUCAAUGAUCCCCCACGUCCCCUGACACUUUAUUUUUGGAAUAGCACAUCUUUAGCAGGAGCAGUCACAAGACUGAAAGACAAACAACUGAGCGCUUAAAACACUGAGGCUGGAUGAGGCUGUCAGUGAGGCUGUUUUCCUCUUUUACAAUCAAAUGGAAUUGAACAAAGGUUAGCUCUUUAGGGCUUUAUGCUAAUGUGAUAUACGAUGCUGCCAUGGAAUUUGCCAAUGCAUGUCUUAGCACUGUCUGACUCUAAGGAAGGAGUGAAUGGUAAUUAUGCUGACCUCUGCCCCUCCCUCUCUCAUUCUGCCCUCUGGGUAAAAAGCCUGAGGAUAUAAUAAACAAUAGAUAGAUUUGUCUUGUUUGUACCGCAGCUGACGGUCUCUUAAUGACACACAGGAACGGUCUCUAUUUUAUAAAAAAAUAUAAAAUACAACGCAUGGCAGGAUCAGCAGGUAGUCGUGAUGCAUUGUUAAUUGGUUUGUGCAAGAAUAUCUCAAUCUGAUGUAAAUUAAUGGAAGCUCAACCCCAGAGUUACUCGCAGGUAUUAAGAAUUUAGCAGGUUGAAACACAGAAUGAAUGAUUAGCAACCGCACAUUACAGCUGGAAUGCAGAGGGGCAGAUCGGCGGCAGAGCGGACCUGUUGAUGAGGCCACAGUGAGAAGACUUAAGAGAAGCCUGGUCAGAGAAAUGGUUUUGUCCCUGCUUCCAACUCAAAAACUGGGAUUUUUAGUCUUAGCGCAAAGUGUUAAAAUAAAUGAUGUGUUAAACCUUAAAAGCUGUGUUCAGUACAGGAGACGAUUUAAAUUGGAGGAUAUUGAAGUGAAUCUCAGAAAAUUUGGAGAUAUGAAAGAUAUUCCACCCCCAACCUUCCAUGUCAUUUGGUUGUUUCUGGUGCCGGUCUCCUUCUCCCGUUUUUUAUCCUUUGAAAAGAUGAUAUAAGGCACGAGGCAGAAAUAGUAAUCAUAUAGUAACGGAUUUGCUUCUAAAUAAUUUAGUAAUGGUGGCUUUUUAUAGACACAUGGUUUACCUAUGGAGCUCGCUAAAAGCUUGGUACUUAGCAGCAAUUCUCAGACUCUAUCUCUACAGUGGAUCAUGUUGCUGUAUGAUGUUUCUCUCCAUCAUUCGGAAUGGCAUCGCCGUCAUGAACGGGCCGGCCGUAUCUUGAUGUCUGCCGUCCUGGAAAUGGCGGCAGGCACUGUUUGUUUGUCUACUUUGUUCCAUACACCAAUAAAAAAUACACUCAAAAUGAAACCUUGGUGUAACGAUGACCUUAAACGCAAUGACACUCUUUCCCAUAACAUUGUCCUGUCCAAUAGUCCAGAACUCCCCUAAGAGGCCUUACAGCAAGUCUAGGAGGAACCAAAUGAGAGAGAAAUCGAUUACUUUCCUCUCUCCACUGUCUCUGUCCUGGCUGAAUUACUGAAACAAGAUGCUGCACUUAGAGAAGUCUUUGGAGAGGGAGAAGGAGAGAGAGGGAGAGAGAAACACUUUUAGGGACAUGGGUGCCAUUUAGACCAGGACCAUCUUCUCACAGAAAGCCACUAAAAGCAGGGAGCGAUCCUCUUCCUGUCCCCGGCUGGGAGGCGGUUAGCCUCCUGUGGUUAAGUGAAUACAGAAUAUACUCUCAGGUUUGAGGUCAAAGCAGGAUCAUUAACAAGAAUAUUAAUUUCUGGAGUCGAAGCGGGGCAUCGGUUCCACAGCCACGUGAGUGUAUCGGCUGUGGAGCGUUCACGCCCGGCUGCAUUGGACGAGGCCUCACGCAUCCAAUCAGAUGUUGUUUUCAGACUUCCUAAUGUCAAAUGGGUGUUGUUUAACAUCCACACCAGGUUUUAUUGUCUGAACUAUGAAGAUGAAAAUGAAUCCCGCUCGUUUGGUAGACAGAACGUGGUGCUUAAGGGACCCAAUCCCUGUAAGUGCCAUUAAGUGGAAAUUGCCGUUCACAUAUUCCAGUGGUUUGAUUAAUUACACUCUCUCAUGUGCUUUCAUAAAGGCCCAAUGAAAUAUGGGGAGCAAAUUGCAUUGUGUUCCUGUAUCCUGUUAUGUAAAAGCAGUUUAAUUAUUGACACAUGUUUUGCCACCUGGCAGGGGGAAAGACGCUCGGACAUGAAUAGAAAUCAUACAAUAGAUAUUAUGGGUGAGUGGAGCUCGCACUUCAGAUGCCAUGUGUUUCUGCGACGCGGUUCGCCGUCCCCCCGUCCCCGCCUCCUUUCCAGCUCGCCUGCCAAAUAAGGGCAAAGAGUAGCCGCGAUCAGCUGGAUGUGUCACAGUUGUAAGGGAAACAUUUUGCGAAAGCGACUGCACUUUAAAACCUGUUUAACUCGGUGCAGCAGGACGGCUCUCCGAAAGGUCUCCUCUGAUAAAUAUGUAGUUAAGGAGAUAUUUUGUGAAGGCUGCGCGGUAUCUCUCGGGGAUUAAAAGAUCACCGCUGCCUUUGUGUGAUAUCUUAAGAUAGCUCUUUUUGAUCAGAGUGCAGGCUUAGAUGCUGCGUAGUCACUGACACGCCAGUACGUUGAACUCAGGGAACGCAACGCAGGGAGACAACAAGCACAUUAGCAUGUUAAAAUAUCCUUCUUCCUUUAUGUUUUUUCUUUUUUUUUGUUUUUUUUUCUAAAACAGUGCCCUCUACUGCCGUGAAUACCUAAUGACAGGGUGCCAGGGCACUGCAUCCCUUCUGUUGUAGCCUGUAGUACUUAGGCUUCACUCUAUUCAGUAUUCUGCAGUGUAUGUGGAGGUAUUAGCUCAUAAAACCCUCCUACUGUCACAUGAACCCACUGCUGUCCCAGAGCUCUAUAUGAACAGCAGGGUUCUGAUACUUAGUCCCAAGCUGUUCCUGUUUGCCCAAAACGAUCAGGCCUGGCCUCGUGCUCUCUACCUGAUCUAGUUGACUGGGCUGUGUAAGUUAGGUAGGCAGUCCCUGUCUCCGUCCCCCUCCUCCCUCCCAAUAUGCACUUGGACCCGGGCUCAGGCUGCACCUUUUGUGUUCCACAGGGAUAGCGGAGCCAGAUGGAGGAAUUUGAUUAACCAGCAGUGGAGGACCAAAUGUUCAAUUGGAUACAGAACCAGUUGGAAGGCGGGAGGGAGCGAGGGAUGAGGCGGGGUAGAGGGAGAAAUCUAAAAUGGCUGGUCAUGUGCGCUGGCCAACACUUUCCAAAGGGGAGCCCAAACAGACACUGAGGUGUAGUAAUGCAGAAGCCCUUUUCCAAGUACCAGCUGGGCCUUUUAGGAGCCUCUAUCCCCACAGCAGACACUCGGCAGCCUCCGAGCAGCUUGACUUUACCAUAUGUGGAACUUUUUUAUGCUCCACCUGGUUUCCCCGGGGGACCUGUGCCGCUGGGACGCCGGAGGCAGGUGAAUUGCUCUUAAUGCAAGGCACUGAAUCACUGGGCCAACAACAUGAGGGAAGAGCCUAGGGAGAGGAAAUGGAUCUGCAGAAAUACUGGCGCGGACUGGCGCGACCUUGGAGCUUGUGCCCACCACAGAGCAGAAAGUGGCUAUGAAACAUGUCACUGUGCUUUUACUCUAAUAAAAUUCACACUUUACACAAAAGUGUGGGCUUCA